UUUUUAUUUAUUUAUUUUUUCAGUUCUUUGAAGGAACAAUUCAUUAAAAUGUAAAGAAAACAGGCAAUGUUAAAUGCACCUAGUUCAAAGUUUCAGUAUGCUACUUUGUCUCUAUUGAAUUAAGCCAAUUGUGUCAAAACUUCAGGAAUACUUCAUGGUUGUUAAAUCAUGUCUCUCUUCAAAAGGUUAACUAGCAGUUUUUUCACAAACACUAUGCUUCUGGCUGUAGUCACUUGCCCACCAGUAUUCCUGAUUGUUUUAGUGAUGGUUUUGCAAAGAAAAGAUUCUAAAUAAGCAGCUUCUAAUUCUGCUCACUCUGACCCUUGUUGGCUUUACCUGAUGCGCCUGAUGUGUUUUAGAACUGAGCCUGUAGAAGUCCAUGCACAGUCAAUUUAAUAGAUUUCAAAGUAAAAUGAUCUUUCAUAGAAUAAAAGUCCAAAAUGUCACUAGUGGUUCCCAUAUCCAGUUCAAAAGUUUGGGGGAGAGUUAUAGCAGUCUUUUGGAAAGACACUCCAGCUGAUGUGUAACUUCGAUUCUUCAAACAAGCCCCUUUUGGUAGGAUUUUCAUCAUCUUGUAGCUGUUUUGCUAGAGUUCAUCACUUUUGUUCGAGGCCUCAGCAUAAUCUCUGUAGAACACGCUGCGGGGCUCUGUGGUGACCCUGUGAUUUUAAACUACUUCGUUUACUAUUCCAUUAAUUUGAAAAACGAUGGGUUUUUUCCUCAAUGAUGAGGAAAAACGCCUCAUCAAGCGUAAGACGAACUAUGGAUAUGGGAAAUAUGCCUCUUUGCUUGUGUUAACAGAAAUUUGCAAGAAAGGCUUUACUGAGAAGGUUUUACCAAGGAUGACGUUGUAAGACGAACUAUAGAUAUGCCCCCCCUCUUCUUACUCCUGGUGCUUCUCUGACCUUGGCGUCCAGCAUAAACUCUUAAGGGCUCGGGUGCCUUCCCUCCCGCCCAUCUGAACCGCAGCUGUCACUCCAACCCCGGCGGGGGGCCUCUCCCUGGCCGGGCACCAGCGCCCCCACAGCUAGACCGGGCCGUGCCCGCAGC
rnacentral:lncRNA from 1 species